rnacentral:rRNA from 1 species
UACGUAGGGGCCGAGCGUUGUCCGGAGUUACUGGGCGUAAAGCGCGCGCAGGCGGCGGUCCGCGCCCGGCGUGAAAGCCCCCGGCUCAACUGGGGAGGGUCACGCGAUACUGGUCGACUCGAAGGCAGGAGAGGGUAGUGGAAUUCCCGGUGUAGUGGUGAAAUGCGUAGAUAUCAGGAGGAACACCGAUGGCGAAGGCAGGUCUCUGGGCUGACACUGACGCUCAUGCACGAAAGCGUGGGGAGCAAACAGG